ensembl:lncRNA
CUGAAAUGUAAGAUUCCAUGUGCCUUUUCGCUGUUCAGACUCCAGUAAAAAGAACAGAUUCUGUUCGGAUAUGCCAAAAAUUCUGUUUUGAAUCACUUCAUACAGUCAAUGUGAACAAGGCUUUAGACGUCUUUGCCAGAACAUUGACACCACGUGCACUUCAGGUGCAGAAGAAAAAGUUAUAAGACGUCAAAACACAGAUGCCUCUUAAUAUGAAAGAGGAGCAAAGAGAAGAUCGCAAUAAAGCAUGUAUUAUUGCUCCUAUCUAUGACAUGCACAUAUGUUAGGUUCUUGAAAAACUUUAAAAGUGACAACUGACGUUUUAGGCAAUCAAUCAUAUAGAAUAAACCAAAGACCCCUUCAACUACAAUAACAUUCUCAGUAACAGUUAGAGAUGUAUUUUUCUUGCUAUGACUGUGAUAUGUUGUUGUUUAUCUACCUUAGUUGAAUGUACUGACAGUAAGUCAAUCUGGAUAAGAACGUCUGCUGAAUGACCAAAAUGUAAAUGUAAAGUAAACAUUUGCAAUGAGCUCCGCCUCCAAACAAGUACUCAUUUGGUCUUUGCGGGACCAGAUCCAAAUCUGAACAUUGAAGAGGCGUCUCCGGGAUGCUGACCUUCUAGGCAGAGUUCCUCUGUCCAGUGUCUGUAUUCUUUUGCCCAUCUUUAUCUUUUAUUCUUAUUGGCCAGUCUGAGAUAUGGCUUUUCCUUUGCAGCUCUGCCUAGAAGGCCAGCAUCCCGGAGUCGCCUCUUGACGUUGAGACUGGUGCUUUGCAGGAAAGCUGCUGAUGCUGCUGAGACAUGUGGCAUGGGAACAGGCUCUUCCUGUGGGAACCCCAUGGAAAGGACAUGUCUGAUAACAUAGCUUGUUAACCAGGACUGUGUAGCUCUGAUAAACAUUCAUCAGAUACUGGAAACCACUAAGCAGACACAGGAAGGGAUGUUAAGAUUGGCUUCACGUUUGAUCCACUUAUUUGCUCACAAGGUUGAGUAAGACCCCCGAAUGUUCAAAUCAGACUUCCCAUUAGGUCAUUCCCUCUACAGGAUAACUACUCCCUGGGGAGCUUACAUCCAUUGACUUUCUUAAACCUACUGACCUAAAGGCUAUGGGUGGAGCUGGACAGUGUAUGGGGCAAAUGUAUACUCUACUGGAUAUGAAAACAUGCACUUCCCUGUCCAAGGGAGCAAGGACAGUUGUAAAUGGUGCAUUUCAAUGUCCUGUAUUUGCUAUAUCCGAAGCAGUUUGGGAGCCACAGGUUCAACAUAAACAUCCAGCACAUGUAAGGACAAACUGUUUGACGUGGACAUAUCUAUCACCUAUCUCUGCUACACAAGCACCACUUUAUUCAUCCGCUUUUUGCCUCAGGGUUGGACGCUGUUUAUUAAGUCAUGUUGAAGGGGAUUUUUACAUUGCACUCAAUUCUGGCCCUGGUUGGUCAUUCUGUUUGGUGUGACGUUAGGGUUCGUCACUGUCAUUCAUUCUCUAUAGAACAGAGCCACCUUGUGGCAUUACAAUGACAUUAAAUGCUGCACCCGCACCUUGAAUACAAACUCUGAAUAGCCUACUUGAUGUGCCCUUGGUAAAUGGGGACCUUAGAGCAGAAGUUAUGCUCUUAUUUAGACUACAGUUGAAGAUCGUGGUCUAGGGGACGCGUUGGGGAACUAUUUACAAAAUAAUUCUCAGUAUGACUAAAGUAUGACUCUCUGCCACCCCAGGUAACUCAAGAUAGAAAUAAAACCAGAUUAAGAAACAUAAAAUAACACGGCACAACGGGGACUGUGAAGAGACACAGACAUUUCUAUAUAUUAUCUAUUGUAUUUUGUAUUGUAUUUUAUGUUGCAUUUUGUAUUGUAUAUCAUAUUAUGUAGUGUAUUUUGUACUAUAUUAUGUAGUGUAUUAUUUUUCACCUUUAUUUAACUAGGCAAGUCAGUUAAGAACAAAUUCUUAUUUUCAAUGACAGCCUAGGAACAGUGGGUUAACUGCCUGUUCAGGGGCAGAAUGACAGAUUUGUACCUUGUCAGCUCGGGGAUUUGAACUUGCAACCUUUCGGUUACUAGUCCAACACUCUAACCACUAGGCUACCCUGCCGCCCCGUACUGUCACGUCUACUCCUGCUCCGGUGCUCAACGUCGCCGGUCUACCAUGCACCGAUCCUGACAACCCUCAUGACGCAGUCAUCACUCCACUUCAUCAUCAUCACUCCACUUCCUGUUUACUCCCCCUUUAUCUACCACUCUAUUGUUAUCACACAUCAGGCAGUAUGGUUUCUGUGUUAUGUUCAG